CGUGCUCUGUCUCUCCCUCUCUCUCUCUCAGGAAUAAAUAAACAUUAAAAAAAUGUUUUUAUUAAAAAAGUUUGCAAGACGCUACUUCUGGAAUAUUCUCCCUGCUGACUAUGCAGACACUUCCCAGCAUCCCUUGGGCCCUUGCAGAAGAAACAAUGAUGCAACUUCAGUUACUGGCCACAAGAUGGCACUGUGAUGCCACUGAGAUCUGAGGGGCUCGGAAAAGUCUGGGAGAGCAGCCUGGGGAGGGAGAGGGUUAAGAAAAACAGGCGUGGAUCCAAUACCUGGCAGAUGUUGAAGUUUUCCAUUAUUGCUAGGCUACCUACAGCUAUGGAAGAGGUGGGAGGUCCCUCUAAACUUUAAUGAGCUCCACAGUUGAAGGAUUUGGAUGAGGCAGGCUUGAUGUCAGGGGCAGGUGCAGACAGAGGAGCAACUGUCUCAGAGGAGUAUGGGAAACCAAGGGGGUGGGUGCACCCUAAACUCAGUGCACCGCGGCCACACCCCGUUGCCCCUGCAGGCCUUGCUAAGCAACGUCUACGUGAGGAGUAGCUGACCCCUCCUGAGCCAAGUCAGAAGGGACCCUGGGCCAGGCAGAGUUGGAGAGGUAGGAGGCGGUGACAUCCCAGGCAGACCCGUUUGUCCACUGAAGAGCUUCCAAGCUCGCUCUCCCAGUCCUGCGGAUGACAGCAUUUAGUUGGGACAGCACCCUUCUCACCCGGCCCCUGCCAUGAGCCUCAACCUCUUUCGUGUGACUCUUGGUCUCCUGGGAGCAGGCCCCGUGGAUGCUGCAAUCACCCAGACGCCAAGAUACCAUAUUAUACAAACAGGAACCAGGAUGAUCCUGGAAUGUACUCAGGAUGAGAACCAUUUUGCAAUGCACUGGUAUCGACAAGACCCAGGACAGGGGCUGAAGCUGAUCCAUUAUUCAAGUGGUGCGGGCAGCUCUGUCAAAGGGGGUGUCCCAGAAGGGGUACAGGGUCUCCCGAGGGAAGAAGGAGCAUUUCUCUCUGACCCGGAGGCUGCCGGCACCAACCAGACCUCUCUGUACUUCUGUGCCAGCAGUGAGUCCACAGCACUGCGUGGCCAGCUGCUCUCUGCACAAAAAGCUCAGCCGCAGGCAUGAAGGACACUCCUGCCUGAGGCCUUGCCUCAAGAGGGGAAAUAACAGCCCUUACCGAGGCUUUCGAGGCUUUCGCCUGACUUCCCAGCGAUGGGAUCUCAGGCCGAGGGGCCUUCUUCCAGGGACCCUUGGUGUGAACUGAGGUCCAUCACUACAGGAGGGGGGUGUGUAAGUAGAAGCAAAUAGCACCUAAUGUUAUUCCACUCGAUCUGGACUGUUCUGGUAAUUGAGUCAAGCACAGAAACAGUAGCAUCUAACAUGAAAUGUAUAUUUCACUUUCUUUUCAAUGGAGAGGAACAAAGCAGAAAGCAGCUAAGCAGGUUGAAACUCCCUGGAUGGUCUGGGAUUCUCCAGAUCUAAAACUACUACAUAAAAUCUCAGGCUUCAAAAACACUGCACACCCUGCAAAAAUUCUCUGGAGGAAAAAAAAAUUGUUAAUAACAAUUUAUAAAACACAUAAGGGGAAAUUUCCCGCUCAGGGGAAAUGUUAAAGGCUUUAAACGGCAGCGUUACAGCCAAAGAGACUACAAACUAAGUUUCUGUCUGUGGUUGUCGCCUAGUGUUCUGAACUUUCUGGGGCUCGGGACGGUUCGAAUUCUUAAGGAAGGAACCGAGUUCUUACCAUCUCUUUGGUUUACACUAAAAUCCACAAGCUCCUCAGGGUUUUUCUUGUAAAAUAUUACAAAAUGAUAUUGGGCAAUCAUUUUAUUCUCCCCACAGUCCAUUUCCCUCCUUGGGUCCCUGUAGGUAAAAGUCCGAACCCAGGAACGAUGUGGCCUGGCUUGGCAUCCAUUAACUCCCAACAGUGGGCAGUCCAUGGUUGGGCUUUACAGGAAGUGCAGACCCCAGGAGGGUGUGGUCCUGCACUGCCCUUGUCCACUCUGAACAAGGUGACUGUACCUGUGAUUUUCUGCAGGCUCACCCACGACGUGCUCACAGAGAGGGGAGAAGGCUGCUUGCCUGGCAAAAAAAUCAAUUCACCGAUGGGACAAUCUGCUGAAAGCUGAAAUGAAAUGCUGGGUGGCAAAACUAACAAAUGGCCAAUUCCCCAAACUAUGGGGCUUACAGCACGUUAGGGUUCGUGGAAUUUCUAAAGCGUUGGAGGAUAUUUUUUUAAGUUUUUGACCCUCGAAAUCUCAGCCAUUGGUCCUCAGCUGUUUCUUAACAAACUUGUGAGUCAAGCUUAUUUUGAUGCCAAAUUUGGAGGCUUAUAUAUUUCAUUCUUGGAGAACUUCUAACAUUUUCAGUAUUUCAUGUAUGUGAGUGCUCUUGUCUUCUCUUAUUUGCAUGUGAUUUAUUUCCAAAUCAGACUAUGUGGAAUGCAAGCAUAAAAUUGUGUAGGUCUCCCACCUUUUAUGAAACUUACUUAUGCUUUAGUAACGCUUUAUUAAAGUAUAAUUAAGAGAGAGUAAAAUACUGAAAUUAACACAUGAUACAGGUACAGCUUGGUAAAUUUGGACGAAUGUAUACACCAGUGCGACCUUGACCAAAAUCAAGAUAAAGAACAUUUCCGUCACCCAAGAAAAGUUUCCUCACGCUCAUUCCCCAUCAAUUUCUCUUCCAGAGCUAACCACUUUUCUGAUGUUUAUCACCAUAGUUUUGCCUAUACUUGAACUUCAUGUGAAGUAAUUUCAAUCUAAAAUGGGGCCAGAGGAUAUAAAUGGAAAAAAUCUCAUGCAUGUGAACCCUCAGAAAAACAAAACGUAAGGACUGAGAGACUGAUUUCCCACAAAUGCCUCAUUUAUAGAAAACUGUUAAUGUUGGAAUUUUCUUAAUAAUAGGGAGUUGGUCAGGACUUGCCUCAUAUCGCCCUCGGGAGAUUUUUGCUUAUGGUCUCCAGAGGCAUAAACGAGAAAUGACCCAGGUCAUGUUGGUCUUGCAAAAGAAGCUGAAUUGAGCUUUGUUUGCCUGACUGGACUGGUUUUUGUCUGUAUUUUCAAAGCUGGUCUCCCUUUGUUUUCAAUUCUAACAGACCUAACUCAGCUCUCUCCUCUCCCCAUCCCCUGCCCAUGGGAACAGCCCAUCCUCAACCCUCGGCGGACUCCCCUGGAGCUUGCUUCAGUCUUCCUGUCCUGAGCCGUACUUCCUCUGCUGUUUCCCCAAGCUCAUCUUUUUGACAAUUUUGCUCUGGCCUCAGUUUUCCUUUUUAUUUAGGUUGACAGCUACAUAAAUAGAACCAUAUGAUGAAUGCUCUUUUUUAAUCGGCUUUAAUCUUUCUCAAAAAUUAAUAUUUUUGACAUGUACUCACGUUGUUGUGUUUAUCAGCAGUUUCUUCUUUCUUAUUACUGUGUGGUAUUCCAUUGUAUAAAUGUAGUGAGAUUUGUUUUUCCAUUCUAUUCUGCUUGGAUACCAGGCUUGUACCGGUCUUCAGCUGUUAUGGGUAAAGUUGUUCUGAACAUUCUUGGGCAAA